rnacentral:misc_RNA from 13 species
ACCGGGAGUAGUGGCGUGCUCCUGUAAUCCAUCUACUUAGAGGUCGGGUCUCGAGGAUGGUUUGAGUCCGGAAACCACUGUGGUUGGGUGUUUCUACGUUGACCAGGCGUCUGCAUUAAGCUGAUCAUCAACAUGGUUGUUUCCGGGGAGCCGGAGAUGUCGAGGUUGCUAAGGAGGGACGAACCGGGCCCGGGGAAACUUUCCUGUCUUCUCCAAACCCUCUCUCGGGAAGACAUCGAACAAAACCUUGACUCAUCCAAAAACUAGAUUUAACGCCAGUCCUGG